rnacentral:rRNA from 1 species
UACGUAGGGUGCAAGCGUUGUCCGGAAUUAUUGGGCGUAAAGGGCUCGUAGGCGGUUUGUCGCGUCGGGAGUGAAAACACGGGGCUUAACCCCGUGCCUGCUUCCGAUACGGGCAGACUAGAGGUAUGCAGGGGAGAACGGAAUUCCUGGUGUAGCGGUGAAAUGCGCAGAUAUCAGGAGGAACACCCGUGGCGAAGGCGGUUCUCUGGGACGGUACUGACGCUGAGACGCGAAAGCGUGGGGAGCGAACAGG